GACGAACGCUGGCGGCGUGCCUAAUACAUGCAAGUCGAACGAGAGCGACCGGUGCUUGCACUGGUCAAUCUAGUGGCGAACGGGUGAGUAACACGUGGGUAACCUGCCCAUCAGAGGGGGAUAACAUCCGGAAACGGAUGCUAAAACCGCAUAGGUCUUCGAACCGCAUGGUUUGAAGAGGAAAAGAGGCGCAAGCUUCUGCUGAUGGAUGGACCCGCGGUGCAUUAGCUAGUUGGUGGUAACGGCUCACCAAGGCCGUGAUGCAUAGCCGACCUGAGAGGGUGAUCGGCCACAUUGGGACUGAGACACGGCCCAAACUCCUACGGGAGGCAGCAGUAGGGAAUCUUCCGCAAUGGACGCAAGUCUGACGGAGCAACGCCGCGUGAGUGAAGAAGGUUUUCGGAUCGUAAAACUCUGUUGUUAGAGAAGAACAAGUGCUAGAGUAACUGUUAGCGCCUUGACGGUAUCUAACCAGAAAGCCACGGCUAACUACGUG
rnacentral:rRNA from 1 species